UAAAACUAUAAUCAUUAACUGCCUUUCCUUUAUUGAACUCUAGAGCUUUGGCUUUAUAAUUCUAUUUGGCCUGUAUAUGCAGGAAGAGUAUUGAAAUGGUCUAUAUUUAUUUCUUCUCUCUGACAUAGAUGGAAACAGUCAGAGUGACUCUACACACUUCCUGCUUCCACGUUUAGCAUCCCCAAGUGAAGAGAUAUGAAGAGUGUUCAAAAGAUGCUACAAAAUGUUUAGUUUUCAACUCUCCAGAGGAAGCUGACAUGGCAACACUCUGUUAUUUGAAGAUUUGAGUUUUCCUACUACAAGGAAGAAGUUGUAACUUCUGACUUAGUAUGAGGUUCAAGCCAGAUGGAUCAUGUGAUGCAGUCUUGUCAAUGAAAACAGGAAGACAUUUCUCAAGAUUAGAAUGGUCCUGGAACAAAAAAUUGCCUUACCAAGUAAUCAGUGCCUACUAUUGGAUGUAUUCAGGGACUGAAAUGAUGGCUGCUGUCAGGGAGCAUGAUGGAAG
rnacentral:lncRNA from 1 species